rnacentral:rRNA from 1 species
GAUCCUGGCUCAGAACGAACGCUGGCGGCGCGUCUUAAGCAUGCAAGUCGAACGGCAAGAGGUAGCAAUACCUCCUAGAGUGGCGGACUGGUGAGUAACACGUGGGUGACAUACCCUUCAGAUGGGGAUAGCUAUUAGAAAUAGUAGAUAAUACCGAAUACGAGCACAGGGGUUAGAGAUCUGUGAGGAAAGGAGCUAAGGCUCCGCUGAAGGAACGGCCUGCGGCCCAUUAGCUAGUUGGUGAGGUAAGAGCCCACCAAGGCGAUGAUGGGUAUCCGGCCUUAGAGGGUGAACGGACACAUUGGGACUGAGAUACGGCCCAGACUCCUACGGGAGGCAGCAGCUAAGAAUAUUCCGCAAUGGACGAAAGUCUGACGGAGCGACGCCGCCGUGGAUGAAGAAGGCCGGAAGGUUGUAAAAUCCUUUUGAAACUGAAGAAUAAGCGUUGUAGGGAAUGACAGCGUGGUGACAGUAGGUUUUGAAUAAGCAACGGCUAAUUACGUGCCAGCCGCCGC